rnacentral:piRNA from 1 species
GAUCCUGGGGGACAUCUGGAAGC